UGAGGCGAACCGGGGGAACUGAAACAUCUAAGUACCCCGAGGAAAAGAAAUCAACCGAGAUUCCCCCAGUAGCGGCGAGCGAACGGGGAGGAGCCCAGAGCCUGAAUCAGUGUGUGUGUUAGUGGAAGCGUCUGGAAAGGCGUGCGAUACAGGGUGACAGCCCCGUACACAAAAAUGCACAUAUUGUGAGCUCGAUGAGUAGGGCGGGACACGUGGUAUCCUGUCUGAAUAUGGGGGGACCAUCCUCCAAGGCUAAAUACUCCUGACUGACCGAUAGUGAACCAGUACCGUGAGGGAAAGGCGAAAAGAACCCCGGCGAGGGGAGUGAAAAAGAACCUGAAACCGUGUACGUACAAGCAGUGGGAGCCUCUUAAUGGGGUGACUGCGUACCUUUUGUAUAAUGGGUCAGCGACUUAUAUUCUGUAGCAAGGUUAACCGAAUAGGGGAGCCGAAGGGAAACCGAGUCUUAACUGGGCGUUAAGUUGCAGGGUAUAGACCCGAAACCCGGUGAUCUAGCCAUGGGCAGGUUGAAGGUUGGGUAACACUAACUGGAGGACCGAACCGACUAAUGUUGAAAAAUUAGCGGAUGACUUGUGGCUGGGGGUGAAAGGCCAAUCAAACCGGGAGAUAGCUGGUUCUCCCCGAAAGCUAUUUAGGUAGCGCCUCGUGAAUUCAUCUCCGGGGGUAGAGCACUGUUUCGGCAAGGGGGUCAUCCCGACUUACCAACCCGAUGCAAACUGCGAAUACCGGAGAAUGUUAUCACGGGAGACACACGGCGGGUGCUAACGUCCGUCGUGAAGAGGGAAACAACCCAGACCGCCAGCUAAGGUCCCAAAGUCAUGGUUAAGUGGGAAACGAUGUGGGAAGGCCCAGACAGCCAGGAUGUUGGCUUAGAAGCAGCCAUCAUUUAAAGAAAGCGUAAUAGCUCACUGGUCGAGUCGGCCUGCGCGGAAGAUGUAACGGGGCUAAACCAUGCACCGAAGCUGCGGCAGCGACACUAUGUGUUGUUGGGUAGGGGAGCGUUCUGUAAGCCUGUGAAGGUGGCCUGUGAGGGUUGCUGGAGGUAUCAGAAGUGCGAAUGCUGACAUAAGUAACGAUAAAGCGGGUGAAAAGCCCGCUCGCCGGAAGACCAAGGGUUCCUGUCCAACGUUAAUCGGGGCAGGGUGAGUCGACCCCUAAGGCGAGGCCGAAAGGCGUAGUCGAUGGGAAACAGGUUAAUAUUCCUGUACUUGGUGUUACUGCGAAGGGGGGACGGAGAAGGCUAUGUUGGCCGGGCGACGGUUGUCCCGGUUUAAGCGUGUAGGCUGGUUUUCCAGGCAAAUCCGGAAAACCAAGGCUGAGGCGUGAUGACGAGGCACUACGGUGCUGAAGCGACAAAUGCCCUGCUUCCAGGAAAAGCCUCUAAGCAUCAGGUAACAUCAAAUCGUACCCCAAACCGACACAGGUGGUCAGGUAGAGAAUACCAAGGCGCUUGAGAGAACUCGGGUGAAGGAACUAGGCAAAAUGGUGCCGUAACUUCGGGAGAAGGCACGCUGAUAUGUAGGUGAAGCGACUUGCUCGUGGAGCUGAAAUCAGUCGAAGAUACCAGCUGGCUGCAACUGUUUAUUAAAAACACAGCACUGUGCAAACACGAAAGUGGACGUAUACGGUGUGACGCCUGCCCGGUGCCGGAAGGUUAAUUGAUGGGGUUAGCGGUAACGCGAAGCUCUUGAUCGAAGCCCCGGUAAACGGCGGCCGUAACUAUAACGGUCCUAAGGUAGCGAAAUUCCUUGUCGGGU
rnacentral:rRNA from 1 species